rnacentral:rRNA from 1 species
AGCAUGUGGUUUAAUUCGACGCAACGCGAAGAACCUUACCAGGGCUUGACAUCCCCUGACCGCGUAUGAAAGUACGUUUUCACCUCGGGUGACAGGGAGACAGGUGGUGCAUGGUUGUCGUCAGCUCGUGUCGUGAGAUGUUGGGUUAAGUCCCGCAACGAGCGCAACCCUUGUCUUUAAUUGCCAGCAUUCAGUUGGGCACUUUAAGGUGACUGCCGGCUAAAAGUCGGAGAAGUGGGGAUGACGUCAAAUCAUCAUGCCCCUUAUGACCUGGGCUACACACGUGCUACAAUGGGCGGUACAAAGGGUCGCGAACCCGCGAGGGGGAGCCAAUCCCAAAAAGCCGCUCUCAGUUCGGAUUGCAGGCUGCAACUCGCCUGCAUGAAGCCGGAAUCGCUAGUAAUCGCGGAUCAGCAUGCCGCGGUGAAUACGUUCCCGGGCCUU